UCACGGGGCGAGUUCCUCUCUUUACA
rnacentral:tRNA from 1 species